rnacentral:rRNA from 1 species
GAGCACGUAGGGGGGUUUGUAAGUCAGAUGUGAAAGCCUUCUGUUCAACGGAAGAAUUGCAUCUGAAACUGCAAACCUUGAGUAUAGGAGGGGAGAGUGGAACUUCUGGUGGAGCGGUGAAAUGCGUAGAUAUCAGAAGGAACGCCGGCGGCGAAAGCGGCUCUCUGGUCUAUAACUGACACUGAGUGUGCGAAAGCUAGGGGAGCAAACGGGAUUAGAUACCCCGGUAGUCCUAGCCGUAAACGAUGGGCACUAAGUAGAGGGGUUUU